GAUGAACGCUGGCGGCGUGCCUAAUACAUGCAAGUCGAGCGAACGGACGAGAAGCUUGCUCUUCUGACGUUAGCGGCGGACGGGUGAGUAACACGUGGAUAACCUACCUAUAAGACUGGGAUAACUUCGGGAAACCGGAGCUAAUACCGGAUAAUAUUUUGAACCGCAUGGUUCAAAAGUGAAAGACGGUCUUGCUGUCACUUAUAGAUGGAUCCGCGCUGCAUUAGCUAGUUGGUAAGGUAACGGCUUGCCAAGGCAACGAUGCAUAGCCGACCUGAGAGGGUGAUCGGCCACACUGGAACUGAGACACGGUCCAGACUCCUACGGGAGGCAGCAGUAGGGAAUCUUCCGCAAUGGGCGAAAGCCUGACGGAGCAACGCCGCGUGAGUGAUGAAGGUCUUCGGAUCGUAAAACUCUGUUAUUAGGGAAGAACAUAUGUGUAAGUAACUAUUCACGUCUUGACGGUACCUAAUCAGAAAGCCACGGCUAACUACGUG
rnacentral:rRNA from 1 species